UACGGGGGGAGCAAGCGUUGUUCGGAUUUACUGGGCGUAAAGGGCGCGUAGGCGGCCAGCGCAAGUCAGUUGUGAAAUCUCCGGGCUUAACUCGGAACGGUCAACUGAUACUGCGCGGCUAGAGUGCGGAAGGGGCAACUGGAAUUCUCGGUGUAGCGGUGAAAUGCGUAGAUAUCGAGAGGAACACCUGCGGCGAAGGCGGGUUGCUGGGCCGACACUGACGCUGAUGCGCGAAGGCCAGGGGAGCAAACAGG
rnacentral:rRNA from 1 species